rnacentral:rRNA from 1 species
GACGUAGGGCGCGAGCGUUGUCCGGAUUUAUUGGGCGUAAAGAGCUCGUAGGCGGCUUGUCGCGUCGUUCGUGAAAACCUGGGGCUCAACUCCAGGCUUGCGGGCGAUACGGGCAGGCUAGAGUUCGGUAGGGGAGACUGGAAUUCCUGGUGUAGCGGUGAAAUGCGCAGAUAUCAGGAGGAACACCAAUAGCGAAGGCAGCUCGCUGGGACGGUACUGACGCUAAGGCGCGAAAGCGUGGGGAGCGAACAGG